UCGCCCUUGAGUUUGAUCAUGGCUCAGAUUGAACGCUGGCGACAUGCGUAACACAUGCAAGUCGAACGGAAACGAUGCUAGCUUGCUAGCAGGCGUCGAGUGGCGGACGGGUGAGUAAUGCAUAGGAAUCUACCUAAUAGUGGGGGGCAGCCAGAAGAAAUUCUGAUUAAUACCGCAUAUACUCUACGGAGUAAAGUGGGGGACUUUGGACGCUCUCACUAUUGGAUGAGCCCGCCUAAGAUUAGCUAGUUCGUGGGGUAAAGGCUCACCAAGGCGACGAUCUUUAGCUGGUCUGAGAGGAUGAUCAGCCACAUUGGGACUGAGACACGGCCCAAACUCCUACGGGAGGCAGCAGUGGGGAAUAUUGGACAAUGGGCGCAAGCCUGAGCCAGCAAUACCGCGUGUGUGAAGAAGGCCUCCGGGUUGUAAAGCACUUUCAAUUGUGAGAGGGGAUAGUUAAUUAAUACUUGUCUAUCCUGACGUUAACUUUAGAAGAAGCACCGGCUAAUUCAGUGCCAGCAGCCGCGGUAAUACUGAAGGUGCAAGCGUUAAUCGGAAUUACUGGGCGUAAAGCGCGCGUAGGCGGUUUGGUCAGUCAGAUGUGAAAGCCCCGGGCUCAACCUGGGAACUGCAUUUGAAACUGCCAAACUAGAGUAUGUUAGAGGGAAGUGGAAUUUCUGGUGUAGCGGUGAAAUGCGUAGAUAUCAGAAGGAACACCAAUGGCGAAGGCAACUUCCUGGGACAAUACUGACGCUGAGGUGCGAAAGCGUGGGGAGCAAACGGGAUUAGAUACCCCGGUAGUCCACGCCGUAAACGAUGUCUACUAGCCGUUGGGGGACUUGAUCCCUUAGUGGCGCAGCUAACGCGUUAAGCACACCGCCUGGGGAGUACGGUCGCAAGAUUAAAACUCAAAGGAAUUGACGGGGGCCCGCACAAGCGGUGGAGCAUGUGGUUUAAUUCGAUGCAACGCGAAGAACCUUACCAGCCCUUGACAUCCCGGUCGCGGUUUCCAGAGAUGGAUUCCUUCAGUUCGGCUGGACCGGUGACAGGUGCUGCAUGGCUGUCGUCAGCUCGUGUCGUGAGAUGUUGGGUUAAGUCCCGCAACGAGCGCAACCCUCAUCCUUAGUUGCCAGCGGUUCGGCCGGGCACUCUAGGGAAACUGCCGGUGACAAGCCGGAGGAAGGCGGGGAUGACGUCAAGUCCUCAUGGCCCUUAUGGGCUGGGCUACACACGUGCUACAAUGGCGGUGACAGUGGGAAGCAAGACCGCGAGGUGGAGCUAAUCCCCAAAAGCCGUCUCAGUUCGGAUUGUACUCUGCAACUCGAGUGCAUGAAGUUGGAAUCGCUAGUAAUCGUGGAUCAGCAUGCCACGGUGAAUACGUUCCCGGGCCUUGUACACACCGCCCGUCACACCAUGGGAGUUGGUUUUACCCGAAGCCGGUGCGCUAACCGCAAGGAGGCAGCCGACCACGGUAAGGUCAGCGACUGGGGUGAAGUCGUAACAAGGUAACC
rnacentral:rRNA from 1 species